rnacentral:rRNA from 1 species
GAUGAACGCUGGCGGCGUGCCUAAUACAUGCAAGUCGAGCGAACGGACGAGAAGCUUGCUUCUCUGAUGUUAGCGGCGGACGGGUGAGUAACACGUGGAUAACCUACCUAUAAGACUGGGAUAACUUCGGGAAACCGGAGCUAAUACCGGAUAAUAUUUUGAACCGCAUGGUUCAAAAGUGAAAGACGGUCUUGCUGUCACUUAUAGAUGGAUCCGCGCUGCAUUAGCUAGUUGGUAAGGUAACGGCUUACCAAGGCAACGAUGCAUAGCCGACCUGAGAGGGUGAUCGGCCACACUGGAACUGAGACACGGUCCAGACUCCUACGGGAGGCAGCAGUAGGGAAUCUUCCGCAAUGGGCGAAAGCCUGACGGAGCAACGCCGCGUGAGUGAUGAAGGUCUUCGGAUCGUAAAACUCUGUUAUUAGGGAAGAACAUAUGUGUAAGUAACUGUGCACAUCUUGACGGUACCUAAUCAGAAAGCCACGGCUAACUACGUGCCAGCAGCCGCGGUAAUACGUAGGUGGCAAGCGUUAUCCGGAAUUAUUGGGCGUAAAGCGCGCGUAGGCGGUUUUUUAAGUCUGAUGUGAAAGCCCACGGCUCAACCGUGGAGGGUCAUUGGAAACUGGAAAACUUGAGUGCAGAAGAGGAAAUUGGAAUUCCAUGUGUAGCGGUGAAAUGCGCAGAGAUAUGGAGGAACACCAGUGGCGAAGGCGACUUUCUGGUCUGUAACUGACGCUGAUGUGCGAAAGCGUGGGGAUCAAACAGGAUUAGAUACCCUGGUAGUCCACGCCGUAAACGAUGAGUGCUAAGUGUUAGGGGGUUUCCGCCCCUUAGUGCUGCAGCUAACGCAUUAAGCACUCCGCCUGGGGAGUACGACCGCAAGGUUGAAACUCAAAGGAAUUGACGGGGACCCGCACAAGCGGUGGAGCAUGUGGUUUAAUUCGAAGCAACGCGAAGAACCUUACCAAAUCUUGACAUCCUUUGACAACUCUAGAGAUAGAGCUUUCCCCUUCGGGGGACAAAGUGACAGGUGGUGCAUGGUUGUCGUCAGCUCGUGUCGUGAGAUGUUGGGUUAAGUCCCGCAACGAGCGCAACCCUUAAGCUUAGUUGCCAUCAUUAAGUUGGGCACUCUAAGUUGACUGCCGGUGACAAACCGGAGGAAGGUGGGGAUGACGUCAAAUCAUCAUGCCCCUUAUGAUUUGGGCUACACACGUGCUACAAUGGACAAUACAAAGGGCAGCGAAACCGUGAGGUCAAGCAAAUCCCAUAAAGUUGUUCUCAGUUCGGAUUGUAGUCUGCAACUCGACUACAUGAAGCUGGAAUCGCUAGUAAUCGUAGAUCAGCAUGCUACGGUGAAUACGUUCCCGGGUCU